rnacentral:rRNA from 1 species
UACGAAGGGGGCUAGCGUUGCUCGGAAUUACUGGGCGUAAAGCGCACGUAGGCGGCUUUCUAAGUCGGGGGUGAAAUCCUGGAGCUCAACUCCAGAACUGCCUUCGAUACUGGAGAGCUCGAGUCCGGGAGAGGUGAGUGGAACUGCGAGUGUAGAGGUGAAAUUCGUAGAUAUUCGCAAGAACACCAGUGGCGAAGGCGGCUCACUGGCCCGGUACUG